UCUCUCACUCACUCACGCGUGUGCCCUAAUUCCCGGAUUUCUCUCAAGAGCCCGUCUGUGCCCUAACUCCCAGAUUUCUCUCAAGAGGGCGUCUGUGCCCUAACUCAAGAGAGAGUGUGUGCCCUAAGUACUCCCGACAAAACUCACUCCCGCAGCCACCACGCCCCUCCGUGCCGCUAACUCUCGACAAACCCCGCAUCCCAACGCAGUCUCUCUCAAGAGAACGAUCCCCUUGCGGCCCGCAACCAUUACCCACUUCUCCACUCGUUUCUCCGUCGAGGAGGUUCUCCCAGUUCUCACAGAGUUCCUUGGAGGAGAAUCCUGCCAGCGAUCAGGCUCUCAGCUUUACUUAAUUACCAGAGCAUCUCUCACAGACAUUGAGGGAAGAGUGGAUAGACAAAGGACAUUCAGAGCUCAUAAAUUUUCCAUCUACCAUGAUAAAGUGCAUUGAAAGUGGAGGAAAGGAGUGUUCAAACAGGACCUUUGAAAAAGGUCAGUGGUAUCUUUCUUCAUCGACUGCUACACUGUCCACUUCUUUAGGGCUUAAAUGAUGCAUGUUUGUUGUUUUUUCGAUCAUAUCUAGGGAUAUGAGAUGCUACUGGCCUAUAUAUAGUGGUAGCUUAUACUUUUGUGGUUUAUUUGUUCUAGAGUGUUAUUAUUGAUA